rnacentral:rRNA from 1 species
UGGGGAAUUUUGCGCAAUGGACGAAAGUCUGACGCAGCGACGCCGCGUGCGGGAUGACGGCUUUAGGGUUGUAAACCGCUUUUGCGAGGGAGUAAUUUGUGAACGUACCUCGCGAAUAAGCAUCGGCUAACUCCGUGCCAGCAGCCGCGGUAAUACGGAGGAUGCAAACGUUGUCCGGAAUCACUGGGCGUAAAGCGCGUGUAGGUGGUUUUGUAAGUGGAUGAUUAAAGACCGACGCUCACCGUCGGGAAGGUUAUCCAUACUGCUAAACUGGAGAAAAGCAGGGGUAAGCGGAACUUUAGGUGUAGGAGUGAAAUCCGUAGAUAUCUAAAGGAACACCAAUGGCGAAGGCAGCUUACUGGGCUUUUUCUGACACUGAGACGCGAAAGCGUGGGGAGCGAACGGG